rnacentral:rRNA from 1 species
UUGGGAUGAGCCCGCGGCCUAUCAGCUUGUUGGUGGGGUGAUGGCCUACCAAGGCGACGACGGGUAGCCGGCCUGAGAGGGCGACCGGCCACACUGGGACUGAGACACGGCCCAGACUCCUACGGGAGGCAGCAGUGGGGAAUAUUGCACAAUGGGCGCAAGCCUGAUGCAGCGACGCCGCGUGAGGGAUGACGGCCUUCGGGUUGUAAACCUCUUUCACCAGGGACGAAGCGCGAGUGACGGUACCUGCAGAUGAUGCCCGGC